ensembl:rRNA 5S_rRNA 5S ribosomal RNA
UUCGACGGCCAUACCACCCUCAACAUGCCUGAUCUCGUCUGAUUGUGGAAGCUAAGCAGGGUUGGGCCUGGUUAGUACUUGGAUAGGAGAAAGUGGUAAAGGUCACUGACUGUCAGAG